rnacentral:RNase_P_RNA from 1 species
GAGCAAACCUGUUCUAUCGCUUCGGUGUUAACCGGAGAGGAAAGUCCGGACAACGCAGAGCACCCCGCUUCCUAACGGGAAGGGUUCCGAUGCUGUCGGAAUACGGAAAGUGCCACAGAAAACAAACCGCCUGUGCCGCCGGCAUGGGUAAGGGUGAAAACGUGGGGUAAGAGCCCACGGCUUUGCAUGGCGACAUGCAUCGCGGUAAACCCCGGGGGUUGAAAGGCCAAAUAGGUUGCGGAUACCAGGGGGCUGCUCGUCCUCAUCCCGCAUGCGGGAACCGCAACGGGUAGGCCGAUGGAGCCUGCCAGUGAUGGCAGGCCUAGAUAAAUGAUAGAAAUCCCGACGAUGUCGGGACGACAGAAUCCGGCUUAUAGGGUUUGCUUCUUU